rnacentral:rRNA from 1 species
GAUAGCGGCAAACGGGUGAGGAACACGUGAACAACUUUCCCUAAAGACAGGAAAAGCAUCGUGAAAACGGUGGUAAUUCCUGAUACGGUCAAGAAAUCGCAUGGUUUUUUGAUUAAAGGCGGGGACCUUCGGGCCUGCUGCUUUAGGAUGGGUUCGCGUCCUAUCAGCUUGUUGGUGGGGUAAUGGCCUACCAAGGCGUAUGACGGGUAGCUGGUCUGAGAGGAUGGUCAGCCACACUGGGACUGAGACACUGCCCAGACUCCUACGGGAGGCUGCAGUCGAGAAUCUUUAGCAAUGGGCGAAAGCCUGACUAUGCGACGCCGCGUGCAGGAUGAAGGUUUUCGGAUUGUAAACUGCUUUUGUUAGGAGAGAAACCUUUAACUCUAACAUAGUUAAAGCUGACGGUACCUAACGAAUAAGCCACGGCCAACUCCGUGCCAGCAGCCGCGGUAAUACGGAGGUGGCAAGCGUUACUCGGAAUCAUUGGGUGUAAAGGGCAAGUAGGCGGCUUAUUAAGUGAGGGGUGAAAUCUUCCGACUCAAUCGGAAACUGCCUUUCAAACUGGUAGGCUUGAGGUUGGAAGAGGGAAAUGGAAUUAGCAGUGUAAGGGUGAAAUCUGUAGAUAUUGCUAAGACACCAACGGCGAAGGCAAUUUCCUGGUCUAAACCUGACGUUGAAUUGCGAAGCUAGGGAGCAACAGAAUUAGAUACUCUGGUAGUCCUAGCCGUAACGAUGAGCACUAGGUGUUGGUCUCUUAGAGAUUAGUGCCGCAGCUAACGCAUUAAGUGCUCCACCUGGGGACUACGGCCGCAAGGCUAAAACUCAAAGGAAUUGACGGGGACCCGCACAAGCGGUGGAACAUGUGGUUUAAUUCGAUGCUACGCGAAAAACCUCACCAAGGCUUGACAUGCUCGUCGUAUUCUCCCGAAAAGGAGAAGUCAUUUAGUUGGACGAUGCACAGGUGCUGCAUGGCUGUCGUCAGCUCGUGUCGUGAGAUGUUGGGUUAAGUCCCGCAACGAGCGCAACCAUUGCCCCAUGUUGCCACCCAUUCGAAACGCUUGCGUUUCGUGUGGCGCACUCUUGGGGGACUGCCUGGGAUAACCAGGAGGAAGGUGGAGAUGACGUCAAGUCAGUACGGCCUUUAUGCCUUGGGCUACACACGUGUUACAAUGUCCAGUACAAAGGGUUGCCAACCCGUAAGGGGGAGCUAAUCUCAAAAAGCUGGGCCCAGUUCGGAUAGAAGUCUGCAAUUCGACUUCUUGAAGCCGGAAUCGCUAGUAAUGGAAGAUCAGCACGCUUCCGUGAAUACGUUCCCGGGUCUUGUACACACCGCCCGUCAAGCGAUGAAAGCUGGGGGUACCCGAAGUCCUAUGUAGAUAGGCCGAAGGUAAAACUAGUGAUUGG